rnacentral:rRNA from 1 species
GAUGAACGCUGGCGGCGUGCUUAACACAUGCAAGUCGAACGGAAAGGCCCAAGCUUGCUUGGGUCCUCGAGUGGCGAACGGGUGAGUAACACGUGGGUGAUCUGCCCUGCACUUCGGGAUAAGCCUGGGAAACUGGGUCUAAUACCGGAUAGGACGAUGGUUUGGAUGCCAUUGUGGAAAGUUUUUUCGGUGUGGGAUGAGCUCGCGGCCUAUCAGCUUGUUGGUGGGGUAAUGGCCUACCAAGGCGUCGACGGGUAGCCGGCCUGAGAGGGUGUACGGCCACAUUGGGACUGAGAUACGGCCCAGACUCCUACGGGAGGCAGCAGUGGGGAAUAUUGCACAAUGGGCGCAAGCCUGAUGCAGCGACGCCGCGUGGGGGAUGACGGCCUUCGGGUUGUAAACUCCUUUCGCUAGGGACGAAGCGUUUUGUGACGGUACCUGGAGAAGAAGCACCGGCUAACUACGUG